AAAUUGAAGAGUUUGAUCAUGGCUCAGAUUGAACGCUGGCGGCAGGCCUAACACAUGCAAGUCGAGCGGAAACGGCAGUAUUGAAGCUUCGGUGGAUUUACUGGACGUCGAGCGGCGGACGGGUGAGUAACGGCUGGGAACCUGCCCUGACGAGGGGGAUAACCGUUGGAAACGACGGCUAAUACCGCAUAAUGUCUACGGACCAAAGGUGGCCUCUACAUGUAAGCUAUCGCGUUGGGAUGGGCCCAGUUAGGAUUAGCUAGUUGGUAAGGUAAAGGCUUACCAAGGCGACGAUCCUUAGCUGGUUUGAGAGGAUGAUCAGCCACACUGGGACUGAGACACGGCCCAGACUCCUACGGGAGGCAGCAGUGGGGAAUAUUGCACAAUGGGGGAGACCCUGAUGCAGCCAUGCCGCGUGUGUGAAGAAGGCCUUCGGGUUGUAAAGCACUUUCAGCAGUGAGGAAGGUGGUGUACUUAAUAAGUGCAUGGCUUGACGUUAGCUGCAGAAGAAGCACCGGCUAACUCCGUGCCAGCAGCCGCGGUAAUACGGAGGGUGCGAGCGUUAAUCGGAAUUACUGGGCGUAAAGCGCAUGCAGGCGGUUUGUUAAGUCAGAUGUGAAAGCCCGGGGCUCAACCUCGGAACCGCAUUUGAAACUGGCAGGCUAGAGUCUUGUAGAGGGGGGUAGAAUUUCAGGUGUAGCGGUGAAAUGCGUAGAGAUCUGAAGGAAUACCAGUGGCGAAGGCGGCCCCCUGGACAAAGACUGACGCUCAGAUGCGAAAGCGUGGGUAGCAAACAGGAUUAGAUACCCUGGUAGUCCACGCCGUAAACGCUGUCUACUUGGAGGUUGAGGUUUAGACUUUGGCUUUCGGCGCUAACGCAUUAAGUAGACCGCCUGGGGAGUAC
rnacentral:ncRNA from 1 species